rfam:Helobdella robusta unplaced genomic scaffold HELROscaffold_93, whole genome shotgun sequence.
GUCUACGGCCAUAUCACGUUGAAAACACAGGUUCUCGUCCGAUCACCGAAGUUAAGCAACGUCGAGCCCGGUUAGUACUUGGAUGGGUGACCGCCUGGGAAUACCGGGUGCUGUAGGCU